AACUAGAAAAGCUGCACCUUGCUUGCAAAAACUGGGUUUCUUCCAGUUGAGGAAUCAUGGAGUGAGCAGUUCGUUGGUGGAGAAAGUGAAGAAAGGGACUGAAGGAUUGUUCAAGCUUCCCAUGGAAGAGAAGAAGAGCUUUGGCAACGUCCGGGGAGCUCGAGGGAUUCGGACAAGCUUUUGUUGUGUCCGAAGAACAAAAGCUUGACUGGGGAGACAUGUUCUUCAUCACUUGUCUCCCAACGCACCUCAGGAAACCUCACCUCUUUCAAAACCUUCCUCUCCCUUCAGAGAUGACAUGGAAGCAUACUCGGCAGAACUGAGAGAUAUAACCUUGAAAAUACUUGGUCUCCUGGCAAAGGCACUGGGGAUGGAUGGCGAUGAUAUGAAAAUUUUCGAUGGAGGUUGGCAACCAUUGAGGAUGAACUAUUAUCCCCCAUGCCCACAACCAGAGCUUGCCGUUGGCCUUAGUCCUCACUCUGAUGCUGUUGGCAUCACCAUUUUGCUUCAGAUUAAUGAAACUGAAGGCCUUCAGAUCAAGAAAGAUGGAGCUUGGAUUCCUGUCAAACCCCUGCCUGGUGCUUUCGUCGUUAACAUUGGCGAUAUCUUGGAGGUACACAGUCUUUUCACAAUCUA